rnacentral:rRNA from 1 species
GAUGAACGCUGGCGGCGUGCCUAAUACAUGCAAGUCGAGCGAACGGACGAGAAGCUUGCUUCUCUGAUGUUAGCGGCGGACGGGUGAGUAACACGUGGAUAACCUACCUAUAAGACUGGGAUAACUUCGGGAAACCGUAGCUAAUACCGGAUAAUCUUUUGAACCGCAUGGUUCAAAAGUGAAAGACGGUCUUGCUGUCACUUAUAGAUGGAUCCGCGCUGCAUUAGCUAGUUGGUAAGGUAACGGCUUACCAAGGCAACGAUGCAUAGCCGACCUGAGAGGGUAUUCGGCCAAGCUGGAACGGAGACACGUGCCAGACUCCUACGGGAGGAAGCAGUAGGGAAUCUUCCGCAAUGGGCGAAAGCCUGACGGAGCAACGCCGCGUGAGUGAUGAAGGUCUUCGGGUCGUAAAACUCUGUUAUUAGGGAAGAACAUAUGUGUAAGUACCUGUGCACAUCUUGACGGUACCUAAUCAGAAAGCCACUACUAGCUACGUG